CUGUAUGUUGGCUGUUAUGAGGGAACACGUCAUCCAAGAAGCACAAGGCAGCGAUUUUCUAUCAAUCCAGGCCGACAAGACCAGCGAUAUUGCCACAGUGCCAACUUGUGCUUGUGCUACAUUGAUACCAAAAGCAACGAUUUUUUGCUUUUAUUCAUCUGCAUUCAACUACAGCUGAUUCCGUCGCUACAGGACUAAAAGAGCAUCUUGCUGUCAUCCUUCCGGAGUAUCAGACGAGUAAACUCAUCUCCCAAGCGUAUGAUGGAGCCAGCGUGAUGAGGGGUGCCAAUGCAGGUGUUCAAAGGAAGAUUCAAGAUGUGUACCCAAAUGUCCAUUACAUCCACUGCUAUUCGAAUCAACUCAAUUUAAUAAUGCAAAAGGCCACUUCUCACAUACCCAAAGUUAGAUUUUUUUUUUCUGACCUUGGGUGAUCUGGAAAAAAGGCUGGCAAAUCCUCCAAGCGCACAAAUGUACUUGAUAAAGUUGUUGCCCAUAGACUACCAGCAUCGAGCAGUGUUAGAUGGAACCUUCACAGCUGUGCCAUCAAUACAGUGUUUGAGCACAGAGAGGGCCUCAUUCGCUGUUUUGAAACUAUUUGAGACUCGGGUAACUUUGACCCUGUUUCCACCAGAGAGGCAGGAGGCUUUGCCAUGCUGCUGGAUGAUCAGGAUUUAAAAAAUAUCUGCACCGUUUCCACAACAUCAUGCCACAUGUGGACAUCUCUAUGCCAAACUCCAGCAGAAGGUUAUAGAUUCAGUUCACAUUAAGGGGAGCAUCCAGCAGUUCCAGCAGGACAUACAGAAGAUCAGCAGUGAAGCAGCUUCUCAACCGAAGAGGCGGCGGUCGACCAGUCCAGAAGUCCAUGAACGGAUUGCAUCAGAAGUUUGUGGCACCAUACUCCAACACACCAUGGAACGGUUCUGCUUCACAAGCCACCUCAUCAGUGCCACCUUGCUGCAAGCAGACAGGUUUGAACCGUACACCGUGGCGUUUCCUGAAGAUGCACUGAGUAGGACUUUGAAGGCCUAUCCAGUGUUCAAUGGGAGUAAGCUCAAGACAGAGCUUAGUCUCAUCCACGGCAAGGAAG